rnacentral:lncRNA from 1 species
GGAUAAUGUCGCUCUGCAUCCCCACAGCCUCCCAGGCUGAUUCCUCUACAGCCUUGAGGCUGAUUCUGUUUUACUGUUAUCUUACGUUUGUUUACCCCUAUCUUAAAGCUUAAGCUGCUCAGGUCAAGGACCCUGUCUUUGGUGGUUUAUACUUUCUAAAGCAAUAUACUCCUCUGUAAAUAAUUGUGUUUGGUCAUCACAAGACACUUCAGUUGGGUUUUCCCAUAAAAGAGAAAGUUCUUUAAAGAGUGCUUUAUGGUUAAAGUACAACAGAACACUUUUCGAGUGUUUUUCUAUGAGGCCUAUCAAUACAUACACAAGCUGGAAAGUCCGAGGCACAGCAAAGCUAAAGUCACAAUCAAUGGAGGUUCAAGUGUUUCUCAGAGCCUGUACUAUGGUCACAGCACUCGUGGCACAACCUCCCAAAUCAGCUCUUUACCUCCAGGAAAUGUGUUGGAUGUUGGAAAAACUAAGUUUGCAGUACUAAAACUACUAAUGGAAGGAGGGCAGAGAAAAGUGUGACUAAAUGAGAGAUGCUUGGAAGUUCCUGUUUCUGGUUCCAGGGAAGGCCGUGAAUCCAUGUAACUCUGAGAAGAAUGGCCUGGGGUGACCUGAGCAUCUGGAAGGGUCAUUUUCAGUCUUCAGGCUGGGACAGCUGAGUGGCUAGUGGUGUCACCAAGUGACUCAGUAGGAUUGGGGUCUGUUAUUGAAUUUUAUCAUGUCACAGUUAAUCGUGUCAGUAAAACAUAAAGCAUUACUUAGAAAUUGUUGUCCGAUGGAAUUUCGUUAGUUUCUUUGUUGAAAAUUAUACGUAUCCUGCAUUGGUACAGAUCGCCAGCCCCGUGUGUGUGUGUGUGUGUGUGUGUGUGUGCGUGUUAGUUUUUAUAGCCCAGAGGCCCCAGAAACCCUGAAGAAUAAGCAUGCCCUUUUAAUAUUCUUAUUUGUGUACAUAUCUGUGUAUUCACAACAAGGUUACAGUCAGGUUUUUUUGUGCCCAUGGAAGUGUCAGAACAGAGAUGAGGGGACCAGGAGAUGCUGAGAAUCCACCAAGAUGUGACCAGUUGUUUCUUCUCUGGUGACAGAGUGUGGCAAGGACUCAGCUUGCCUCUAGCCAAUCCUCCCCCCUGCCCUGGCUGUUAGGUAUGGCUGAAACAAAUACUUCUUUCUCUUGUAUGUUCUAGUCUAGAUUGUGCAAAAUCCUUCAAUCUGGCAGAAAAAGACAGUUCAACCCAGAGGAUUCUUUGCCCAUGUUAUCCUAGGACUCUCCCCAGCAACACUCCCUGAAAAUUCUGCCUGCCAAGACUCUCGCAGAACACCGAAUAGCUUAGCAGAGAAG